UCAUUAGGUUUUUCGUUUUGCCCACCUACGCCGUAAUCUACAUAGACACUACCACUUCCUGUGCCGAAUUUUCCUCCACCCUAAAAUUUGCAGCGACGUCUCAUUUUCUUUCUGAAAUGUGCUAUUAUAUAUGCCAAUAUUUGCUUCAGUGAAAUUCAACGAAUCAAAAAAAAAUCUCAAUAGUAUCAAAGUUCAAACACAGAGUUCAUUCGGGUGUGGUCAUGAAUGUCAAUUGAAAACUUCAUGAUCUCCAUCUAAUCCUGGAAGGAGGUUCUAUGGAUGCAAAAUUGAAAAGGUAAGUGACAAUUAACUACAAUUAAUUAAUUUUUAGUCCUGUUGUUUUUUUCGAGUUUAGUUUAAAUGAUUUUUUUUAAGGACAAAGGUGGAUGUAAUUAUUUUAAGUGGGUUGACGACGAGUUUCCUAGCCAAGCGAAUAGAGUUAUUUGGGGUUUACUGAAUAGGGUCAAAGCUUUUGAAGAAGAAUGGGAUCGAGCAAGAACAACGAAGAAGAAAUUGGCUUCUAUUACAGUAACGAUGUUGAUUAUUUGGGUUUGCUACUGUGUCGUUAAUCAUUGAAGUUGUUGUGGUUUUGUUGGUGGUUGGAGUAUUUUGUGGGCAGUUUGUAAUAGUGCUAGAUAUAUUUUGGGUGUAUCUAGUUUGUUUGGAUGUAAUUGUGGCCUAUGGCCUUACUUCAAUGAAAUGAAACAAGUUCUGCA